GAGGAUGUGAUGAUCCUUUCCCAGAUGAUGGACUAUGAACAUGCUGAGCGCCAUUGUUUCUCUUCAGAGAAACCAAGCCAGUAUUCUGAUCCUC
rnacentral:snoRNA from 1 species